rnacentral:rRNA from 1 species
CAGUAGCCGCGGGAAUACGUAGGUCCUGAGCGUUGUCCGGAUUUAUUGGGCGUAAAGCGAGCGCAGGCGGUUAGAUAAGUCUGAAGUUAAAGGCUGUGGCUUAACCAUAGUACGCUUUGGAAACUGUUUAACUUGAGUGCAAGAGGGGAGAGUGGAAUUCCAUGUGUAGCGGUGAAAUGCGUAGAUAUAUGGAGGAACACCGGUGGCGAAAGCGGCUCUCUGGCUUGUAACUGACGCUGAGGCUCGAAAGCGUGGGGAGCAAACAGGAUUAGAUACCCCUGUAGUCCCUGUCUCUUAUACA